UACAGAGGUCCCAAGCGUUGUUCGGAUUCAUUGGGCGUAAAGGGUGCGUAGGCGGCGCGGUAAGUCGGGUGUGAAAUCUCGGAGCUUAACUCCGAAACUGCAUUCGAUACUGCCGUGCUUGAGGACUGGAGAGGAGACUGGAAUUCCUGGUGUAGCAGUGAAAUGCGUAGAUAUCAGGAGGAACACCGGUGGCGAAGGCGGGUCUCUGGGCCGAUACUGACGCUGGAGGAGCGAAAGCGUGGGGAGCGAACAGG
rnacentral:rRNA from 1 species